rnacentral:misc_RNA from 1 species
GUGCUUUCUUUUAUCCUGCAGAAAAUAUGUCUGUUGAUGGAGUGCAUUUUGCUUCUCAGUGGAACCCUGCACCAAUGACAAAUGCAUAUAUUUCCUCCAACCACAGUAUUGAAGUAUCACAUUAUCAACCAGAUGCUUCAGGCCCAUCUCAUGAUCCUUUCCUGCAUUCAUCAACAAUUGGAACCUUUUGUGCAGCUCCAGAAAAUCAUGCAUGCCAUGCAUCUUCUUCCAAUUAUGACAGACAGACAUUUCAUAGUGUUGAGGGUGGCCUUGUUGACCUUACCAUGGGCAACGGAAGAGGGCCCCACAAGCGAAAAAGCCCUGGAGUCCCUUCUGCAUGUGAAGGGGGCAGUACAAGCAGAUACUAUGGUGCUGGCAGUUCCUCAGAUCCCCCUGUGUCUUCGGAGUUGUGGCCGGAAAAACCAAGUGUAGAUCCUCAAUACAUGGCCUGGGAAUGCAUUACUAUGGCCCCUGGCAAUCAAGGCAACCUCUCAAUUAGGCCUGAUGGUUCUAUCAGGAAUGUGAGAAGCAGGCCUGCACUUGAUCUGGAAACCAACUUGGCUAGGACCCAUUUAUCUAGCAAUUCUUCCCACAUUUCUUAUCCUGCAAGCCACCCCUUUGACCAUUCUAGCUCGGUGGAUUUCUCAGGUCAAAGUUCCAGUGGUAUGACACAUGACUGGAGCCAUACCAGAAUGUCUCCUGCUUCUGGAAGGAUGCUAGUUUCUGAUGCUAAUGGUUAUAAUCACGAGACAAACCACUUCCUUGUUGGAAGCAGCAUAACUAAUACUUCUGCAGAUGUUAGAGGAUUUCACCAUGAUUUCAUUUCAAGUGGAAACCCUGUUGUUCCUCAAAGUUUCCAUAGUGCAUCAGCACAUUCUGUUAGAGGCAUUCGCAGUAGCUAUUCUCAGAGACCUAGUCCAACUUUCAGGGCUUCCUCCAGCAGUUUGCACUUGGGGCAUGUGGCACCUCUUGAUGAUGGCAUGUCAUUGGGUGCCGAAAACUUCUCCUCCAGACAACCUAGGCUAUCAUCCGCUAUACCUUGGCGUAAUAGUGAUAGGAAUGGGAGAUCAAGGAAUUCUUAUGAUAGAUACCGAUCACUGUUCAAUGAGCCAGGUCUUCAUGAUCGAUUUUCAACUGAGGGUUUUAUGGUUGUGGAUCGCUCAGCCUUUAAUGGGUCCAGAAAUAUGUUUGAUCAGCAUAGGGAUAUGAGGCUAGACAUUGAAAACAUGAGCUAUGAGGAACUACUUGCACUGGGUGAAAGGAUUGGGCAUGUAAGCACAGGUUUGUCUGAAGAUCUGAUAUCCAAGUGUUUGACAGAAACGGUAUAUUGUUCUUCAGGCCAAGGCCAGGAUGAAGGAAAUUGUGUGAUUUGCUUGGAAGAGUACGAAGAUAUGGAUGAUGUUGGGUCGUUGAAAAUUUGUGGUCAUGAUUACCAUGUGAACUGCAUCAAGAAAUGGCUGUCAAUGAAGAACUUGUGUCCAAUCUGCAAAGCUCCUGCUGUGGCCGAUAACAUGAAGGAAUAAGUUAAUUAUUUUAUCAAAAAUUAUAAUUUUUUUUUAAAGGAAACUAUUUAUCAUUGUUGUAUAUAGGAAUUUGUCAAAGAAAGAAACAGAUGAACUGAUUUUUCUGGGGAAUAUUGUAGAUAAAUGCUAGUCAAUGUCAAUCGAUUUG